UGCUGCCGAGGAUGAAGGUUUUGUUCUAGCCACUCUGUAUCUGCCAGGUCCUAACGCGGAUCUAUCCUGAUGCGUCGAUCCAGGCAGUCGAAGCCCGCCGGCGACCGACCUCUUCCACCCUAGCCCGCCCGCGCCCGCUGGAACACGCCGCCGUCCGCCGCGCCGCGCCGCCCGGAGCGCGCCGUCGUCCGCCUGCCAGCUGCCGUUCACCUGUCGUGGACAUGGGAUGGGAGGGGGAGGGAGAUUGUCGGAGGGAGGAGAGGAGGAAGAGAGGAAUAAAGGGAGAGAGAAAAGUGGUAAGUUGGAUCCCUCUAUAACAAAGGACACUUGAGGUGCUUUUUUUGAAGUAUGGAGAACUUAAUCAUGUGGAUUUUGGAGUGCUACUCAAGUCACUACAAACAUUAUACCACAUGCCUUUUCACUACAAUUCAGUUUAUGAGCUGAGAAAACCUUCAG